GGCACGAUGGCUCAAGUGGUAGAGUAGCGGCGUGUCAAGCCAGAGGUCGUGGGUUCGAAUCCCGCUCGUGACA
rnacentral:tRNA from 1 species